rnacentral:rRNA from 1 species
UACGGAGGGGGCUAGCGUUGUUCGGAAUUACUGGGCGUAAAGCGCACGUAGGCGGCUUUGUAAGUUAGAGGUGAAAGCCCGGGGCUCAACUCCGGAAUUGCCUUUAAGACUGCAUCGCUAGAAUUGUGGAGAGGUAAGUGGAAUUCCGGGUGGAGCGGUGAAGUGCGUAGAGAUCCGGAGGAACACCGAAGGCGAAGGCAGUCUCCUGGCAAGUUUCUGACGCUCAGGUGCGAAAGCUAGGGGAGCGAACAGG